rnacentral:lncRNA from 1 species
AGCUUCGACAACAUUUAACUUUUUUCAUUUAAUAUUUCAUAUUUAAUAUUUAUCUCAGACAAUCAAUGCAUGAACUGAUUUUGGAAAUGAGAAAAUCGAGAUUAUGCUUGCUUGUAUGCCUGGCUGGUUGCUAAUCUAUCUUCUUGUUCUAACCAUUUUAUCAUUCACUUCGUCCUCACCUUCUUAUUUUUACAAAGGAAAACUGAUAAAAUGUCCUCCCUGUCCUAUACUUGGAACUAAUUGCACUCUGCAAGGGGGUUGUGAAUAUUGUAAUGGUACUGGAGAUUGCUCUAAUGAAGGAACAUGUCUUCUUCAAUUU